AUGUCCCCACUGUGUGAUAAACACCUGUUAUUUUGACCUCUUGGGGACUAUUUUUUUCAGUCUCCAUUUGGAUAACCUCAAUUUUAUAAAAAUCUGUGAAUGCAAUCAAAAAACAAAACAUGUCUUGGAUUUUGCUUGGUUGCUUAUUGUGAAGGUAAAGGCUGGGUAAGGGUUAAGGGUGUCGUGAUUGGGAUUUUUCCCAUGGGAAAUUAAUGGAUGGUCCCCACAAAGAUAUGAAUACAGGUGUGCGUGUGUGUGUGUGUGUGUGCGUGUGAGAGAGAGAGAGAGAGAGAGACAGUGAGUGAGUGAGUGAGACUUACUGUCUCCCCUGCUGGCCCUCGGCUCACAUUGAAGGACAAGGAUCUCACACUGACUUGUUUCCCACAUGUAAGGGCUCUGCUGCCGCUGACAUCACGUGGAACCUGAGCGUCGCCUGCAGCUCCGGUGGCAGCCGCCUCUGUGACAUCACAGAGCGCCAAACGAACCCACUGCGGCCAUCUCACCUCACUGGCAUCUCCAUCCAGGCCUGGGAAGAGCCCCGGCACCCUGGGCCUGGUGCAGUUCCUUCUUAAACCUCACUGCGCCCCUGGAAAAGGCUGAAACAUGAAAAAAAAACACAGGCAUCAUCAGUUAAACACUGCAACUUCAUCCAUUUAAUGAUUCCUUCAUAUCCUUUAUAAUCCAGCUGAGACAAGGUCUCCCUUAUUGGACAUGUGAGGGCAAUUCAGAGACACCAUGCUUUCAUUACCAGGGAUAUUAUCUGGGCUUUUCAGCACAGUUUUAGCCCAGGAUUUACGCUGCUUAUUGUUCACUGUUCAGUACAGCUGGACAGAGUUCUUUACAUGCCAUGGAGGGCUCUGUUGAUGGCACAGACAAAUUAACUAUCUCUCUCAAUAUUCUUUCUUGCUCAGCUGGGACAGAAGAUGUAGAAUAACUGCUAGACUGUAAGGUAUUAUUCUUACGGUGUUAAUGUAGCAUUGUUUUGAGCUUGAGUCUGCUGGUACCAUGGGUAAUAUAGAGAGAGGUAUAAUGAAGAGCUCGUUCAAUUAAUGUGUUUUAAGAGCUGAAGUGUUGACACAGUUGCAUUUGAACAAUGCACAAAAAAAUAAGAAAACAGAGACAGGACAAUGCACUGGCCUGUCUUUAGUCUAGACUGGAGUCGUUUUGCCUGCCUCCCAUAUUUGGUAGUGUAGAUUCCAGCUCUCUGUUACUUAUUAUUAUUGUGAUGGUGUGGAAUGCAUUACAUUAAAUGUGAAUAAGAGCUGCAAAAAUAGCAGCAGCCAAAACCACAAAGAGCUAGAGCAUGCUUGGAUAUUUAGGUAAGUUGACCUAUACCAAUGCAUCGAGCCAAGCCCUGAAGUUCAAUCAGACUCUCUUCAGCCCAAAUGCACUUGAGCUAAAUGCUAAACCCUGCCAAUUUGUAAAGAGCUGGUGCAUCCAGAGACCCAGAAAGUGCUCUUUAGGGCAUGCCGUGCUGAGCAACGUCAUGCAUCAAGCAAAAGCGACAGAAUAGUAAAAAUAUGGAGGUCUUCUUUUGCCUGGAAUGUGCCUCGCUUCUGCCAUUAUUUCAUCCUUAGAGGUAAACAUAAAACAGAACCUAAUAAAAAAUAUUUUACUUUCUUUAGAUAAAUAUGCCUUGGCAAUAAACAUUAGCAGUGGAAACGGGAACAUUUUUCUUUCUUUACUCUCCCAAACACUGGCCAUUGCUUUAAAUGAAAACCAACUCUUUUUGAAUUUGACUUUUUUCACCCUAUGAUAUCAACCUGACUACCUGGUCACCAGCCCAGAGAAUCUGGAAAGAGUGAAUUGUGAUGCUGCACCUUCUAGGCCCAGUCAGUGGUUGUCUGAUUGGGAGUAUGAGGGUUUUGGGGCUGCGGAUGGAGAUUUAUACUGGCUUUUUCCACAUGCUUCCACCCUGCUUCCAAGACGUUGUUGGCAUAGGAGAUGAGGACCACAGGCGCUACUCCCCAGGUUAUCAUUUGUCAUAACACAGGACUAUUCUCCAGGUGAGAACCAUGGUCUUAACCAGAAUGACCCUGUGAAG